AGUGAACGCUGGCGGUAGGCCUAACACAUGCAAGUCGAACGGCAGCACAGUAAGAGCUUGCUCUUACGGGUGGCGAGUGGCGGACGGGUGAGGAAUACAUCGGAAUCUACUUUUUCGUGGGGGAUAACGUAGGGAAACUUACGCUAAUACCGCAUACGACCUACGGGUGAAAGCAGGGGAUCUUCGUACCUUGCGCGAUUGAAUGAGCCGAUGUCGGAUUAGCUAGUUGGCGGGGUAAAGGCCCACCAAGGCGACGAUCCGUAGCUGGUCUGAGAGGAUGAUCAGCCACACUGGAACUGAGACACGGUCCAGACUCCUAAGGGAGGCAGCAGUGGGGAAUAUUGGACAAUGGGCGCAAGCCUGAUCCAGCCAUACCGCGUGAGUGAAGAAGGCCUUCGGGUUGUAAAGCCCUUUUGUUGGGAAAGAAAAGCAGCAGGUUAAUACCCCGCUGUUCUGACGGUACAAAAAGAAUAAGCACCGGCUAACUUCGUG
rnacentral:rRNA from 1 species